rnacentral:sRNA from 1 species
UUCAUUGUUUAAGGCAGGUUGAUCUGGU